AACAGGAUUAGAUACCCUGGUAGUCCACGCCGUAAACGAUGUCGACUUGGAGGUUGUGCCCUUGAGGCGUGGCUUCCGGAGCUAACGCGUUAAGUCGACCGCCUGGGGAGUACGGCCGCAAGGUUAAAACUCAAAUGAAUUGACGGGGGCCCGCACAAGCGGUGGAGCAUGUGGUUUAAUUCGAUGCAACGCGAAGAACCUUACCUGGCCUUGACAUCCAGAGAACUUAGCAGAGAUGCUUUGGUGCCUUCGGGAACUCUGAGACAGGUGCUGCAUGGCUGUCGUCAGCUCGUGUUGUGAAAUGUUGGGUUAAGUCCCGCAACGAGCGCAACCCUUAUCCUUUGUUGCCAGCGGCUCGGCCGGGAACUCAAAGGAGACUGCCGGUGAUAAACCGGAGGAAGGUGGGGAUGACGUCAAGUCAUCAUGGCCCUUACGGCCAGGGCUACACACGUGCUACAAUGGCGCAUACAAAGAGAAGCGACCUCGCGAGAGCAAGCGGACCUCAUAAAGUGCGUCGUAGUCCGGAUUGGAGUCUGCAACUCGACUCCAUGAAGUCGGAAUCGCUAGUAAUCGUAGAUCAGAAUGUUACGGUGAAUACGUUCCCGGGCCUUGUACACACCGCCCGUCACACCAUGGGAGUGGGUUGCAAAAGAAGUAGGUAGCUUAACCUUCGGGAGGGCGCUUACCACUUUGUGAUUCAUGACUGGGGUGAAGUCGUAACAAGGUAACC
rnacentral:rRNA from 1 species